rnacentral:lncRNA from 1 species
GCCCAAUUGCUCAAUCAGAUUGAGCCAAUUAGCAAUUCAAUUGCUAAUGAUCCUCCUGCAACACUUGCAUUAGGUCAAACAUCAAUCACAUUGAUUGUUUAAGCUUAGAACGAUUCUCAAUCGUCGAUUAACUAUCUGAUUAGGUUACAAUCUCUUAUGUGUAUGACCCUAUAGGUUCAAACCUAAGCUGGUAGCACAGGAACCAAUUCUUGUACCAGUCGAACUAACCAUCUAGCAAUGGUUCCCGACGUCCGGAUAGGUCGAAUGUAUGCAAAGCAACAUUCUAAGAACCCUGACCCAUGGUUACUGUUGCGGCCAAUCGCCUCGUCGCCCGAUCGUCGGGGAACGUGCACCUGCAAAAAUGAGAAGUCCACACUGACCGGAGGCGGCUCCGACAGGGACCCUCCGACGGUCAAGUCAGAGAGGUGACUGGGCAACAGUGAAAUAAAGACAGAGAGCUCGAUCAAGAGAGAGAUGGGAGAGG